rnacentral:rRNA from 1 species
UACGUAGGGUGCAAGCGUUGUCCGGAAUUAUUGGGCGUAAAGAGCUCGUAGGCGGUCUGUCGCGUCGGCUGUGAAAACCCGAGGCUCAACCUCGGGCCUGCAGUCGAUACGGGCAAACUAGAGUACUGCAGGGGAGACUGGAAUUCCUGGUGUAGCGGUGAAAUGCGCAGAUAUCAGGAGGAACACCGGUGGCGAAGGCGGGUCUCUGGGCAACAACUGACGCUGAGGAGCGAAAGCGUGGGGAGCGAACAGG